GGGGGAGUGUCCGAGUGGUUAAAGGAGAUGCGCUGUAAACGCAUUGGCUAUGCCUACGCAGGUUCGAAUCCUGCCUCCCCCA
rnacentral:tRNA from 1 species